GAUGAACGCUGGCGGCGUGCCUAAUACAUGCAAGUCGAGCGAACAGACGAGUAGCUUGCUCCUCUGACGUUAGCGGCGGACGGGUGAGUAACACGUGGAUAACCUACCUAUAAGACUGGGAUAACUUCGGGAAACCGGAUCUAAUACCGGAUAAUAUAUUGAACCGCAUGGUUCAAUAGUGAAAGACGGUUUUGCUGUCACUUAUAGAUGGAUUCGCGCCGCAUUAGCUAGUUGGUAAGGUAACGGCUUACCAAGGCAACGAUGCGUAGCCGACCUGAGAGGGUGAUCGGCCACACUGGAACUGAGACACGGUCCAGACUCCUACGGGAGGCAGCAGUAGGGAAUAUUGCGCAAUGGGCGAAAGCCUGACGGAGCAACGCCGCGUGAGUGAUGAAGGUCUUCGGAUCGUAAAACUCUGUUAUUAGGGAAGAACAAAUGUGUAAGUAAAUAUGCACGUCUUGACGGUACCUAAUCAGAAAGCCACGGCUAACUACGUG
rnacentral:rRNA from 1 species